AUCUCUUCACUCAAAUUCAGUUCAAAUCUCUCAUACACAUAUUAUUCCAUUCGGAUUUAAUUUGGAUCUCUCACACACAUACAUCUCUCUAUGUGACUUCAAUUCGAAUCUCACAUACACACACAUACGUCUCCAUUCAAAUUCAAUUCGUAUCUUAUAUACACACAUUUCUCUCCACUCAGAUCAAAUUUAGAUCUUUCAUAAAGAUACAUAUCUCCCUACUCAAAUUUAAUUUUAACUUAAAAGAAAAUAUCAAAUAAAAUAUCAACGCACGACAUAUAAAGAAAUCUCAAAUAAAAUACACCGAAACUCACAUUUUUAUGUAUUUAGUUUUUAAACUUUGUUUAGGAUAUUCAUCAAGCGAUGUCAUUAUAUCGCUAUUAAGAAGAGGCGAGGAUUCCCCUAUCACAUGGAUAACAUACAUAAAUCUCACAUUGAUCAUAAUAGGUACAUUUACUAGGUGAUCUGAACACUCAUAUAUACAUAUAAAUGUCUGAACUAGAUUUUAUAUCUUUAUCCAUUUGCAAGUUCACCAUAUUCUCUGCUAAAUUUAGCACAUGUAUGCACUCUCCUUUUUUAUUCACGACUAACGAAUUAAGUAUCUUAUUAAUGUUUUUGAAUAAUUUAUUUUUUUAUUUCACAAUUUAAAACAUAGCUUAACUUAAGUAUCUUAUUAAUGCUUUUGAAUAAUUUAUUUUUUUAUUUCACAAUUUAAAACAUAGCUUAACUUAAGGUUUUUAUUCCUACUCAUAGAAUUGAACACAUAUCUACCACAUACACACACAUGCAUAACAGUACAGAACGAGUACCUUUAUUACAUUCCAUACACAAGUUCAAUAUGCUUAUAUACAUGUCCACGCACAUUUACCUCUAUAUAUUUAUGUGUACACGCAGAAUUCAUAUUUUUCACUCGACUAUUACAUUUCUACUCGAAUAUCAUACUUGAUAUAUAUAUAUAUAUAUAUCUAUUCAUUACACACACAUGACAAUAUCCAAAUAUAUAUAUUUCACGCACAUAUACUCGUAGGCACUAUUUAUACAUGUAUAUUAAUGUAUAUUUACACAUAACUAAUACACAUUCAAGCACACGUUUACAUAUACAUAAUGCAUAUAUAUAUAUAUAUAUAUCUAUUCAUUACACACACAUGACAAUAUCCAAAUAUAUAUAUUUCACGCACAUAUACUCGUAGGCACUAUUUAAUAUACAUGUAUAUUAAUGUAUAUUUACACAUAACUAAUACACAUUCAAGCACACGUUUACAUAUGCAUAAUGCACACACAUAAUGACAUUCCGAUGUACUGUAUGUACAUAUACAAACAAAUUAUUCACAUAAUUUACAUUUAUAUAUAUACAUACAUACACAAUUACGCAUACAUUCAUAUCAUACAACUACACGGUAUAUAUAUUAUAUGCAUUAAAAUGCACAUUUACCAUUCAUACAUACAUAUAAGUUUAUUAACGUGUACACUAACACAUACAUACACUUAAAUGUUCACGCACACAUCUACAUAUAUAUACAUGUUUACACAUAUACAUGAUAAUAUCUCUGUAUAGAGUUAACUCAAAUCUUACCUGAAAUUGGAUCGAAAAAAAGUUUCAAAAUUUAUACUGGUUCAAGCCUACGGUCUUUUCUAAAUUUACUACCACUUAAAUAUUUUCCUCAUUUAUAAACAGAAAACAUAUGUAUUAAACGAUGUGUAUUUUUAGAUAAUAAAUAAAUAUAAUACGAAAGAUAAAGAGAUUUUUACAUUAGACAUGCGGUUCACGAUUACUAGAGUCACUAUGUGCCACCAUACGUGUCGCCACAUGUGGUUCACUGGGAUCACCACGCUGUGCUGCACGCGCCAUAGCCAUAAUCAGCAUGCGCCAUCGCCAGAUGUGCCACUUGCUGGAUCGAUAUCUAGAUACACGAUGCAAUCCUGAUAAUUCAUUUCUCUGUAUUUUCUUACCAUUAAAUCAAAUAAAUCUCACGAGUCCACUAAGCAAUGUACAUGGAUGAAAUCGCCUUACCCAAUUGGUCAGCUUUGGCACCUCACUUGCUAAGGUGUCAAACUUACUGAAAUUUCACCCAAACCCCCUUUUCGCAUUUUUCAUUCAUUUUGGUCCUUUUUAAUUAUAGAAAGCUCCCAAAAUUUUAAUUUUUCUUUUUUUAUGUCCCUAAACCCUUAAUUUAUAAUUUUUUAUUUUUAAUUUAAUUUUUAAAAUUUUAUUUGGAGUUAGUAAUUACUGUAUUUUCCUAAAAUUUAAUAAAUUUUCUAUGCGUGGGUAUUGUAAAUUGUUUUUAAAUAUUAUUUUAAAUUUUCUUUUAUUUUUAAUUAAUACUUCAAAAUUUUAAUUAUUUACUAAGAUAUUACUUAAAAAAAAUGAAUAAAAAUUUUAUUUGCAUGACAUAUGUGAUAAAUAAUUUUCUAUCUACUUCCUAUAUGUAAUAAACAAUUUUUACUAGCAAAUCAUAGUCGUCCUACGACCAUCUUUAGUUGUGGUCUCUAAUAUGACGUUUGUUAUUCCUAAUGCAUUUUUCACCAUCUAACUACUACUCAUUUUGUUACUCUUCACUUUAAUUGUUCUUAAGUUAGUUAUUGAUUUCUAUUUCUAAAUUGAUCCAAUCUUUUGAGAACACAUAACUUCAAGAUGUUAAGAAUUAUUUACCAUCUGCACUAUAAUGAUUUUGAUACUAUCAUAAACACAUGAGAUAUUAGCAACUUUUGAGUUGGAGAUGUUCAUCGAUCCAAAAAAAUAGACUGAAAUCAGAUGAAGAUUUAGUAUAAAAAUUAAAUUGUUUUAAUUUCGGUUUGGACCGUUUAGACCAACCUAUUUUGCUUUUUGCAGCCUCUAAAGCCGACAGAGAUCUUCAAGGACAAGAAAAAAGACAGCAGAAGAGAGAUGAUUAUACCAGGUCUUCACAGAAGAUAUAUUUGAAGAAAUACAAGAGGAGAAUAAUUGACCAUGGAACUUCUGCAGCAUAAUCAAAUAUAACGAAAUGGAAGGUCAUAUUUUUCUGUUGGCAGAUAGCAGAGCAUAAAUAACAUGCUUUUAGCCUGCUAAGCAUGCCAAAACAGAAGUAGACAACAUACAAAAAUUUACAUGAAUGUUAAUGAACUUGAAACAUCCCUAUUAGAAGAAUUCCAAUGAAUUUUGUUUCUUUUUUCAGCUUCUUCCAUUGCAGAGGUGAAUGACACCAUUGCCAUGGUCCUUCCUCUUCAUGUUAGAUUGAUCUAGGCCCCAUAUUCGGAUGGUACGAUCAUCACUGGCUGAAGCUAGCAUAUGGAGGUUUGUAGGACUCCAGCUUACACAGUUAACAGCCCCGGAAUGACCAGGCAGGGCCAGCAGAAGCUCCCCUGAGCAUCUGUGCCAUAUAUAUACCUGUAACAGGAAAUAGUAAAAGUGAAGGUCAACCCAUAAAAUCAGCUUUGAAGAACAAGUGACACAGACAUAAAAUCAUCUUUGAAGAACAAGUGACAGACAUGAAAUCAUCUUUGAAGAACAAGUGCCCAACAGGCAUGUAAACGAUCUUAAGAUGUCAUGGACACAGAUGAAAUAUGGAAGGGAUACACCACCUCUUAAUUUAGGAGCUAGCAGAUUCCACCAUAUCAAAAAAAAAUUGAAAAAUAUCAAAUGCAUUUCUUUUGCAAGGUACCAUACCUUUUUUCUAUUCAGUAACUAAAUGAAUUUGAUUCAACUCCAAUUUAGAUAGUUCCAUAUUACUUGAAUCCUAUCUGGUCAUCUAACAACAUUCAUUUCCCCACAUGAUAAUGUACAUGGGAUCUGGUGGUAAGCAACAGAUGAUAUUGCCACAAGUUAAUUACAAAGGAAUUAACCUACCACUGGCCCUAACCCCAUCCGUACCUACCUACCAUAAACAUUUUUCCAUUUCACCUCUCUUAGGGGAGUAAAUAUAUGACCCAAUAAUCUUUCACAAAUUCCUUAGACAAACACAAGCAAAAGAGACUACUCAUCCACAUUACCAGACAUUUCAUACUUUACUUAAAUAUAAAAUUUGCUUAGAAGUAGUUCCUUAAGAAGGUUCUAUGUGGUAUGAAAGAGUAGGUAANNN
rnacentral:lncRNA from 1 species